rnacentral:sRNA from 1 species
UACUUAUUGAAUAAUCUCUAGAUUCCAGACUCUUUUUGGUAUCCAACGAGAGUUGUGUUGAAAGAUAAUGAGGUGAAAUAUUUCCACUUACCAACAGUGGAGGAUCAGGAUGGCUCAUAUUACGGAAAUGCUCAAGGUUUUGUUUAUCAGGCUAAAGGCGUACGAGAGUAUCUCAAAGCAGGUGUAACUGAGAGCGACGUCAUCCCUCACAAGGACAGUGAGACCAUUAUGUUCAUCAUGCAAGAGGUUCUCAAACAGCUUGGGGUGAAAUACAACUAUUCUUGAGACGGGCUCCAGACUAGUCAUUUUUAUGGGACUUCAUUAUAUGAACGAUAACAGACUUCUAUUUAAAGCUUUUUUUUUGGUGUGUGUGUGUGUGUGCUGAACAAAGUAGCCUACAAGUUUUACAGUUUUACAUCUUCUGCACAAUGAGUUUUUCUAAUGUCUUAAGCAAAUAACAUUAAGAUUAUUUUUAAGAAGUUGUUUUGUUUUUUUAAACAUUUGCACUGUUUAGGCCAUGUCGUGCUAAUGUUUGUAAUUAGUACCAUUGGAUGCUUGUUGUUGAAUGUAUUUGAUUAAUCAAAGCAUAAAUAAGGACAAUACAUGAUUUGAAAAUUAUU